UGCAUCGGCCGGGAAUCGAACCCGGGCCGCCGGGUGGCAGGCGAGCAUUUUACCACUGAACCAUCAAUGC